CAGUGCAUCUCACAAGACACACUCAGUUAGAAAGAAAAGUGAUGGAAAAGGGAAAGACACAACCAAAGGGCCAAUUGAUAAAGUGCUGAAAAUGCAAUCGUUAGAUCUUGAAAAGAUACUGAAAAUGUGGGAGAUUGGCACAUUUCUCCAUUAGAGUUACUCCACAGUGGUCCUUUGCUUGAUUUUGAUCUUCUUCCAGGAUGUUGUUCUUCAAUGGCUGCCUUGAGUUUACCGUCUCUACCAAAUGUCCUUAUCUCAGACACUUGUGGAGAAGCUUAUGGUCUCUGUCAAAGCUGCAGAGCCUUUUCCUUCAAUCGUCGCAGCAUCUAAAACUAUUGCAGUGGUUUCAUCUGGAUUGUGUGGAGAUCACGGAGAUGCCAUACAUUUGACAACAAUAAUGCUACCGAUAUCAAUGAACAUAAAUUUUUCUCCAACUCUCUCUUUUUCAUGUUACCACCACUCCAUUAUAAGAAGCUAUCUAGAGAUUUUGUUUCUGUCACCAGCUAUCUAGAGAUUUCAUACUUCAUAAUAACUUUAAA